UAUAAAGGCGGACUUAACGCCAUAAGC
rnacentral:sRNA from 1 species